rnacentral:rRNA from 1 species
CUACGGGAGGCACCAGUGAGGAAUAUUGCACAAUGGGGGGAACCCUGAUGCAGCAACGCCGCGUGGAGGAUGACGCAUUUCGGUGUGUAAACUCCUUUUAUAUGUCAAGAAAAUGACGGUAGCACAUGAAUAAGCACCGGCUAACUCCGUGCCAGCAGCCGCGGUAAUACGGAGGGUGCAAGCGUUACUCGGAAUCACUGGGCGUAAAGGACGCGUAGGCGGGUUGGAAAGUCAGGUGUGAAAUCCUACAGCGUAACUGUAGAACUGCACUUGAAACUUCUAAUCUAGAGUAUGGGAGGGGGAGAUGGAAUUAGUGGUGUAGGGGUAAAAUCCGUAGAUAUCACUAGGAAUACCUAAAGCGAAGGCGAUCUCCUGGAACAUUACUGACGCUAAGGCGUGAAAGCGUGGGGAGCAAACAGGAUUAGAUACCCCAGUAGUC